rnacentral:tRNA from 1 species
AUACUUAUAUUUUAAUAAAAAUAUUGAUUUUGUAAAUCAAAUAUUAAGAUCUUCAUCUUUAAGUAUA